rnacentral:rRNA from 1 species
GACGAACGCUGGCGGCGUGCUUAACACAUGCAAGUCGAGCGGAGCGGCGAACUGGUGAGUAACGGGUGAGUAACUGCCCCCCUCCCUGGGAUAACAGUUGGAAACGGCUGCUAAUACCGGUUAGUGGGGGUUGACUCGCGGCCUAUCGGCUUGUUGGUGGGGUAGUGGCCUACCAAUGCGACGACGGGUAGCCGGCCUGAGUGGGCGACCGGCCACAUUGGGCUGAGACACGGCCCAGACUCCUACGGGAGGCAGCAGUGGGGAAUAUUUCACAAUGGGGGAAGCCCUGAUGCAGCAACGCCGCGUGCGUGAUGACGGCCUUCGGGUUGUAAACCGCUUUCAGCCAUGACGCGGUAGUGGCAGAAGAAGCACCGGCUAACUACGUGCCAGCAGCCGCGGUAAUAC